rnacentral:rRNA from 1 species
AGCGAACGCUAGCGGCGGGCCUAACACAUGCAAGUCGAGCGGAGGGAGCAAUCCUUCAGCGGCGGACGGGUGAGUAACGCGUAGGUAAUGUACCUUCUGGUGGGGAAUAACCGUGGGAAACCAUGGCUAAUACCGCAUAUCGUCCUUACGGAUGAAAGCCUUCGGGCGCCAGAAGAGCAGCCUGCGUCCCAUUAUUUAGUCCUAGUUGGUGAGGUAACGGCUCACCAAGGGUACGAUGGGUAGCUGGUCUGAGAGGAUGAUCAGCCACACUGGAACUGAGACACGGUCCAGACUCCUACGGGAGGCAGCAGUGGGGAAUAUUGCGCAAUGGGCGAAAGCCUGACGCAGCCACGCCGCGUGAGUGAUGAAGGCCUCGG